UUUUUUUUUUUUUUUUUUUUUUUUUACAGCCCUCUACCACAUGCCCUUUGAAAUGAUAUGAUGACUACAGGGCUAAUAAAACUUCAAAAUUUUACAAAUGGCAAAUUUAGGAAAUGCUGUUUACCCCGGAAUAUCACACAUAUAUAUAUACACACACACACACACACGCGACAAUAAGCGAUGCUGCAGGUUACGUUUUAGCUACAACAUGCACACCUCAUAUCAGUUAGAUGGUUUUAUGUUCUCUGGGUUCUGACAGAGAGAGAGAAAGAAAAGGAGACAGAAGAAGGGACAGUGAGGAAAAGAAAGGGAGAGACAAACAGAUACAGCGUGCAGAGAGUGAGACAGAAAGAUCGAGAGACACAGCGUGACGAGAGUGAGACAGAAAGAUCGAGAGACACAGCGUGACGAGAGUGAGACAGAAAGAUCGAGAGACACAGCGUGAAGAGAGUGAAGAGAAAAGAAAGAUCGAGAGACACAGCGUGAAGAGAGUGAGACAGAUCGAGAGACACAGCGUGAAGAGAGUGAAGAGAGUGAGACAGAAAGAAAGAUCGAGAGACACAGCGUGAAGAGAGUGAAGAGAGUGAGUGCACAAUUCAGACAGAACAUGCAUGCAUUAGUGCAUA
ensembl:lncRNA